rnacentral:rRNA from 1 species
UACGUAGGGUGCAAGCGUUGUCCGGAAUUAUUGGGCGUAAAGAGCUCGUAGGCGGUUUGUCGCGUCUGCUGUGAAAACGCGAGGCUCAACCUCGCGCCUGCAGUGGGUACGGGCAGACUAGAGUGCGGUAGGGGAGAUUGGAAUUCCUGGUGUAGCGGUGGAAUGCGCAGAUAUCAGGAGGAACACCGAUGGCGAAGGCAGAUCUCUGGGACGGUACUGACGCUGAGACGCGAAAGCGUGGGGAGCGAACAGG